rnacentral:misc_RNA from 1 species
CUGCUCCACCAGCUGCAGCUGCAAUGGGGGUAAAAUAUUCAUUUCCGCAAUACAAAGCAGGAACUAAUACAGGAAAUUCUACUCAUAUUGGGAUGGCUAGUGGCUAUGGGCUGUAUGGCUCCUCUCAAGCUGGUUAUAAUCCCAGUUCUGCAGCAACAGGCGGAAACUCUACUACAAAUGAAGAUCUUGGAUCAUCCCAGUUCAAAGAAAGUAAUGUUUACAUCACCGGGCAGCAGAGCGAGGGUUCAGCUGUGUGGAUUGCUGCUUCUGGCCGAGAUAUAUCUAGCUUGCCAGCAAGUUCCUUCUACAGCCUUCCUCCUCAGGGUCAGCAUGUGACUUUCACCCCAGCACAGGCUGGCCAUGGCACCUUUGCCAGCAUAUAUCAACCUGCACAAGCAGUGACAGCAGCAGCUGUUCACCCACUUCUUCAACA